UCUAGACUUUUCACAAUCACAUAGGGAUGGGAUUAAUGCUUCAAACUCAUCCCAAAGAUCUUUCAAUUUCGUGUGAUACUCAAAAAUAGAAGAAGUACAUUGAUACAGUGUUGCAAUUUCCAUAUGUAGGUUGAAUGAUCGAGAGCCAUCAACUUUGCUAAAUUUCUCACAAAGGUCUUCCCACACUGCCUGCGCAUCAGAUCCAUAUACUACUCCUCCAAACAAUUGUGGAGUUACAACUUUCAUAAACCUGGAAAGUACUAUUGCAUUGCAUCUUUCCUAUUUUCAUGAAAUUUCUCCUUUUUUCCAUGUUCCUUCUACAAGCCCUAGCUUUUUCCUCCAGCGUAGAGCUAUUCUCAUCAAGCGAUUCCAAAUUCAUUACAAGCUCGAGUACCAACACCAGAUUUGCCUGUUCCUGCAGCUCCAGCUCCAAUUACUCUAGGAUUUACAGGUGCAUAUGUAGGUGUAUCUCCCAUGGCUGCUCUGCUUCAAUUGCUUGAAUUUUGAGGAAUUGAUUUCUUCAAUUUUGAAUUCAAUUGCUCUUACUUUGUUCCAGCUUUAACUAACAGCUUAGAUCGAGUCAAUGACCUCUAAUCCCGCUCUGAUACCAUGCUAGAAUUGUGGGUAGAAAAUUAAGAAGAGAAGAGAGGACAUGCAGAGAUG
rnacentral:lncRNA from 1 species